CAGGUAAGGAACAAUGGCAACACCUGUGGUGAGAUAAUAUGACAGAGGGGAGAGGAGAGGAACUUAGAGUUAUUUUUGAGGUCAAAUUUCUGGGACUUGCUGACCAAAUAAAUAUUAGGAAUGAGAAAGAAUCCAAGGCUUUUUACUGCAACCAGUGACCAGAUACAAUGUCAUUAGCUGAAAAAAGAAUGAUGAGGGGAACUGUGGACUGUUUACACCAUUCAUUCAUUUACUUAAUAAAUAUUUACUCUCCACCUACUUUGUCCCGACUCUGAGCUAGUAAUGUUCAGUAAUGUUCCAGAUGCUUAAUGGGGUCAAUUAACACAAGCAAGGUGAGGAAGGAUACGAGUCACUGAGACACUUAUGCCAGUUUUUGUUUAUUUUUGUUUUGGGGGAUUUUAUUAUUGGUUUUGAUUUAGAUUUUUGAGUGGGUGGGCAGUGUGGGAAGGAGAGAUUGUAGGUGAGGUGGUUUUAAUUGGGGAUGAUGAUGAUCUUGGAAUUGAGGAAGGUGAAGAAUUGUCACUACUAGGGCUGAAUCAGAUGUCAAUAACAAUGUCAGUGUUGCCUUGGAUACCAAUGAACUUGAUAACGUUUUUUGCUGAUGGAUUGUCUAUGAAAGCCUUUGCUUUAAAUAUAAAUGACACACCAUAAGCAGAGUCUCUAGUGAAUACUCCAUAGCAUUGCUACUGUGUGGUCCUGCAGUAGAGCCACAUUGAAUUAUUAGAGGCCCUACAAACUACUUGGUACUAUAAGAAAAUGACUUCCACUCCACAAGACAUUGCUGCAAGGGAAAUGUUAUUGUAAUAGAUAUGGAAACUGGUAGUUUUCUCAUUUUAUUACAUGAAUAAAAUAUUAUUUGGGACAUUUUAAUAGAUGAGGAAUUUCACUGGCAGAAUUGAGAUUCAAACCAAACAUGUGACUCUUCAAACCCAAAGUCAUGCUGUUCCCAGCCUUUUGAGCUUCCUUAUAAACACUCAGCUUAAAAUCCUAAAGUAAUCAACUCACAUAAUUCUUCUGGUGGCUUUGACCUAGAUUCAGUUCUUUGGAAGAAAAAAAAUUGUACUUUUUCUAUUACCAUCAAAUUUUAGCAUAAUCAUAGGCAUUGUCUUUAGUGGGUUUGAAGAUCAAGGAGAACAUGAGCACUUCAACUGGAGAUGCCACAUCUUUGGAAAUUCAAAGGACAUUUAUACUUUUUAACCAAAGUGUACAAUUGACCAUAAUAUUCAAGCUAAAUAAAAAGUUAUAGCAUAAAAUCAUUCGAUGAAAAAUGAUUUUUGUUGUUUUUUAAGCAUGAAAGGUUGACAACAUGGACUUAUUGACUCUCCUUUAUUUUUUCAUAAACACUAAAAGUUAGAAUAAUUAAUCAAAUUAUUCUCCUGGUCUUCUGGGCCAGUUUUUUUCAUCCCUGUCACACCCCUCACCUCUCCAAUAUCUCCUUUCUUCAUUUUUAGCCAACAUACUUGUUUCCUAUAUAUUGAGAAAACAGAACUCCCCAAACUACGAAUUUUAUCUAAAGUGUGUUUAGCUCUGUUGGAUAAGCAUUUGUCCCUGUUUAUCCUAGGGAAUUUGUUUCUGGACACCCCCAGACCACAAAACCCAAUGAUACUGGAAUUCCUUAUGUAAGAUAGCAUCCUAUUUGUACAUAACCUACACAAUCAUCCUGCAAACUUUAAAUAAUUUCUAGACUAUUUUUUAAAUUUUUGUUAGUUAUUGAUGGACCUUUAUUUAUUUAUUUGUUUAUAUGUGGUGCUGAGAAUCAAACCCAGUGCCUCAUACAUGCUAGGCAAGCGCUCUACCACUAAGCCACAAUCCCAGCCCUCUAGAUUAUAUUUAAUAUCUAGUACAAUGUCGAAACUGAGUUCUGUAUGGUGCUGUUAAAAAAUAAUGAAAGGGAGAAAUUGUAUUGCUCAGUAUAGAUGCAAAUCUUUUCAAAUGUCUCCAAUCCAUGGCUGGUUGAAUUCACCAUUUAUUGAAUCCACUAAUGCAGAACCUAUGUUUACAGAGGGCCAACUCUAUACAGGAAGAAGAAAAGGGAGAAGUAUACAAGAUCAAUCUUUAGCUAUUGGGAAAAAUCAUUGGAUGAUGACGGAAAUUAGUAAAUCAAGAAAAAAAAUUAACACAACAUCUAGAUAUAUGGAAAUAAAUAUCUAGUUAGCAGUCAAAACACUUUAAAAAUGCAAACAGUUGCUUCUGAGGAAUACAGCUAGUGGGUCUACAUAUGAAUGGGGAUGCUAUUUUUUUCACCUAAGCCUUUUAGCAUUUUUUCGGAUCUAGGGAGCAAACAAACAAAAACAAAUAAAAUUGUCAAAUGAAAGGCUGUAAGAAAAUACAUGCAAAUUAUAAUUGCUUUAUUAUUAAGGUGUUAUUCUGGAUAGGUACCAUGUUUUUCUCAACUUUUUUCAAUGUUAUGCAAUCCAAACGAUUUACCAAGAAGUCUUCAUAAGGAGUACUUUCUUUUAUAUUUUAUUCAACUUUAGAAACAGUUUAAGUGCCCUUUAAAAAAGUAACACAUUGGUGAGGAAAGGGGAAAGUACUGGAAUUUUUUGUUUGUGUAUAUUAAACCUUAGUGCUAUAGCCAGGGUAAGGGAUUACUCUUAGCUGGGGCCAUUAUUGGACUCAACACAAGAUGAGGGGCCACAGAAGUAUUUAUCAGCAAUAAAGGAGCUGCCAUUUUUAUCAGGAAAUUGACAACACCAAAGAAAGAAAGUACCCAGGAGUGUUGUCAGCACUGGAAAGUGGGUAAAUUGGGGUGAUGAUAGGUCCAGUUUCUUAUCUGCAGAACCAGUGACUAGACCUUAGUCCAUGACAAUUCACCAAAGUGAUUAGAAUCUCUGAGCUGUUUAGGUGGAUAGCAAGAGGACCUCAGAAGGUGGUGCACUGAUACCUCUGAAUGAUAACCCAUCAGAAUGUAUCAACAAGAUAUGUUCUUGACAAGGACAGCUUUGGAAUUCAUGAAAAUGGCUCGGUUUCUGAAUCUCUAAUUUAAAUUUCACAUUAUCUGUACCCCAGAAACAAAGAUGAAGAUGAUAUUUCUUUCAAAGCCUUUGCCUUUGCCUUCUAUAAUUUUCAUAGAUCAUUCUAAUACUAAUAAUGUUGAAUUCUAAUAAUGCUGAAUUCUAAUAAUGUUGAAUUUCAAGCUAAUCACACAGGCCAUAGAUUAAAUGAUUAAAGUGGAUUUCAGUUUUCAAAUGAAAUGUUGUAAUAAAGAAUAGUUUCCUAUUAACAGCCUGAUGCUCAUAUUUUGCCAUUGAUCAGAACAUCUAUAAAAAUUAAAUAUUUGUCAUUCUUAUAAACAAAUGCUACAUAGCAUAAAGACUUUCAGUAUAUAUUAUUAACAUAUUUGAACAAUAAAAUAAUUAGACACAAUGAGCUUCCAGAGAAAAAAGAAUAUUGAUUAAUAAAAAUAAAAUAGGAGGGGUUGGGGCUGUGGCUCAUUGUUCGAGUGCUUGCCUAGCAUGCGUGGUGAGGCACUGGGUUCGAUUCUCAGCACCACAUAUAAAUAAAAUAAAUGUCCAUCAACAACUAAAAAAUUUAAAGAAAAAAAAAUUUUAAAAAUUUAAAAAAGAUAAAAUAGGAUUUUGAAUGGGAAAAUGUUUACAUUAGUUCCCACUCUGAUAUACAUGAGCUUUUUGGUUUUAUUCAAGUCACAUGUCACUUUAUAACCUAAAUGUACUUAUAAGCAAAAUACAGUUUGUACUGUCUCUCUCAAAAUCUCUUAAGGGAUAAAAUAUACACAACUACCCAAAAAGAUUGCUAUAGUGAUUGCUCAAAAUGUUUGAUUAGGCUGGGGUUGUGGCUCAGUGUUAGAGCACUUGACUGGCACAUGUGAGCACUGGGUUCGAUCCUCAGAACCACAGAAAUAAAGAAAUAAAGAAAGAAAGAAAGGAAGGAAGGAAGGAAGGAAGGAAGGAAGGAGGAAGAAAGGUAGGUAUUGUGUCCAUCUACAACUAAAAAAAUUCUUUAAAAAAUGCUUAAUUAUUAGUACAAAAUGAAUCACGUGAGCACAAAGGUAUAAAGCAAAGCUUUAUAUAAUGUAGCUGACAUUGUUAUUAUCCCCCCACCCCCUUCUUGAUUAUUGACAGGGAAUGGUUGAGACAAAGCACCAAGAAGAACCCAGGCAGGGAUAACUGACUGGGCUAUCAAGAGGUCAUUGAAGUCAUGGACCCAGGACAUAGGGUCUUAAAUAUUAGUGCAGGUCAGAGAACAGACAGUGCCAAUGAUGCAGUUCUGCGUGGCCUUCUGCCAGGGCUCUGAGUAAGUGGAAGAGCACUGAGCUGGUGACUCAUUAGCAGUCAAGUUGCUGUAAGUGGGGAACCACCUGUAGUUAAGACAAGUGCCCCAUUGAAUUUAGGAGAACAUGAGAAAACUCAGGAAAGACUGAUCUCUUUGACGCGAGGUGCAAAGUCUUCAGUUCAGGCUCACAUUGCUUUCUAGGAAUUCCUUCUGUCCAUGCCUGUGUCUGGUGAAAACUUCUCUUCCAAGCCUACAUUUUUGGAGGAAACAGGGACCGAGGAAUUGGAGGUCCCUAUAGCUACCUGUACUUAGGUGCUGCCUUCUUAAAAACACUGAGGAAUAUGGAUUACCCUUAAAUGAAAAGUAAGAGGAAAGAAAAGAAGGGAGGAAAGAAGGGAUGGAAGGAGGGGAAGGGAAGAAGAAAGAAAAAUUAUUUCCCUUUAGUUUUGUGUAUAACCCACAGACAGGAAAGGCCCUGGUACUUAGAGUUUUGUCUCAGGUAUACUUAAAUUAUACUUAAAUUCAGUUUUCUAAACCCAAACACUAUCACCAUUCACAGUAUCCAUGUUUCUUUCCCCCAUCUUCUCCAGAGCACUUUCCCUAUCAUGGAAGUUAAAUCCUGAGUAGACAUUAUCAUUACUACUUGAUAGUUUUCUGUCUCUUCUGACUUCACUGUUUUAUCUUUAUUAGCUCACUAGUUCCCUCUGAUCCUCCAACUGGACCUGAAUCAGGCUUCAUUUUCUCCUAUUUUGUUUUUCUAAACUUAAAAUAUUCACACACAAACACAAAGAUUCUGGCUCCUGCCACUCCCUUUUCUUUCUUCUCAUUUCUAAAUUUCCAACAACCUUAGUCCUCCUAUUUUCUCUGUGUUGUCUCAUGGUUUACUGGGGUUGUAGGGCUUCAAAAAAGAAUAAGAGAUAGUACAAGAUUCUUGUCACAUCCUAACACAGUUACAUCCAUUUUCUUUCAGAGCUAGGUAUAUGUUAGUUCAGGACCUCCUAGCUCUGAGGGGCUAGGUUGAGAAAUAAACUGAGAUCUGCUUUAGUUCCUCCUACAUGUGAUCUGAUGUUUGUCUCUAGCAGCCUUUAAAAAUUCUAUCCUUAUUCUGUAUGCUAGGCAUUUUCAUGAUAAUAUGCCUUGAUAUGGUUCUGUUGUAAUUUUGCACCUUUAAGGUUCAAUAAGCCUCUUGUAUUUGGUGUUCCAUUUCAUUCUUUAGAUCUGGGAAAUUUUCUGAUAUUAUUUCAUUGAAAAGAUUGUGCCUUCCUUUGGUUUGUAUCUCCAUGCUUUCAUCUAUCCUGAUAAAUCUUAAAUUUGGUCUUUUCAUGUUAUCUCAUAUUUCUUAGAAGUUCUGUUCAUGGUUUCUUAAAUUUUUUUUUUCUUUUUUUUAAAUUUUUAUUAUUAGUAGUUCAAAACAUUACAUAGCUCUUGACAUAUCAUAUUUUAUACAUUUGAUUCAAGUGGGUUAUGAACUCCCAUUUUUACCCAGUAUACAGAUUGCAGAAUCACAUCAGUUACACAUCCACAUUUUAACAUACUGCCAUACUAGUGUCUGUUGUACUCUGUUGCCUUUAAAAUCUUUUUUCCAUGGUCAACUCUAUUUUCAAGAUUAUAUAUUUUGUCUUCAUGGCCUGAGGUUGUCUUCCAAGUGAUCUAGUCUAUUGCUGGUACUUUCUACCGAAUUUUUAAUUUGGUUUAUUGUUUCCUUCAUUUCAAGAAUUUCUGUUUGUUUUUUCAGAGUUUCUUUAUUGAAGUGAUAUUUUGCUACUGGUAUUUGCUCUCUUAUAUCAUCCUUUACUUUGCAGAUCAGUUUAACUAUGUACAUUCUAAACUCCUUCUCUGACAUCUCUUACACUAUGGUGUCAAUGGAUUCUGUUAUUGGAAUGUGUUGGUUUGCUUGGGGCAAUUUGUUUCCUUGUUUUUUCAUGUUGAUUUUUGUGUCUACCCAUCUAACAGUAUGGAUCUUAGGCGGUAGAAUUUCUACUCUGUAAACUUAUAGUGCCCCUGAAGGUUUCCCGUACCUUACUGUUUAGGGAGAGACAAAUAAUAACAAUGACCAUUACAAACAAUUUUCAGCAUUAAACCAAAUAGUUCCUACUAUGAUAUCUUCAAUGUUAAUUAUCACAAUAAAUAGAAAUGAUAUGAUCAAUUACUGUCUAUAAUAAAAACAGCAAGUUUGCAAAUGGGUUUACAUUUUAAAAUGAUGGACAGGAGAGAACAGAAGUGAUAUAGGAUGUGAUGGUUAUGAGGGAGGAGGAGAGAAGACAGAAGUAUAAGUUUAAAGGAAGAGUGAAACAGAGAACAAGAGAAACAGGUAGGAGAAAACAGGUAGAGAUUGGCUAUUAGCAGAACAAAACAGAGAAUCAAGGGAAACAGGUAGGAGAAAAAAAUAUAUAUAAAGCAAAAAAAAUACAAAAAAAUACAAGACAAAACUAAAAUAUAUUAAUCAAACACAAAAAUUACUAGUUCACAAAAAACUAAUCCAUGUAUAAUAACUGGCUUCAAAAAUAUUAGAGAUGAGAAGGAAAAAAAAUAGGAAACUGUAUAAAUGUCCAUGAACCAUUAAGGUCACAAUUAAAUAGUGAAAAAGAAUUAAGAGAGGGAGAGAGAGAAAGAGAGGGAGGGAGAGAGAGAGAGAGAGAGAGAGAGAGAGAGAGAGAGAGAGAGAGAGAGAGAAGAAAAAAGAAUCUUGAUGAAAACUUAAAGAAUUCUUUCUGUUGGAUUUCAAAAUAUUAUCUGCUUCCCUUCUCACCAGUUUUAGGUGGGUUCUUCUGGAGUGUGAUGCUCCACACUCUGGAUUGCUAGAGUGAGAGAGAUAAUCCCACAGGCGGAGUUUCUGGAAGCAGGGUUUAUGCUUAGGUGGGCUUCAGGCUCUUUGCUGAAUGCUAAUUGAUCUGGAGAUUUUAAAUCAGCACAUCUCCAGUAACCAGUGUUUGCUGGUCCAUGCUGGGAGACUUUACCCCAGGGAUCUCCCUUGGGUUCCACUUGAGUGGUGGGGGACCCAAUUCUUUGUCCCCUAUGUCACCUGCAGACCCCUCUUUUCCUGGUCUUGGGUUAAGUCUUCAAUUUCUUCCAUCCCCAUGCUUCCAAGUUCCCAUUUCUCCAGCCAGUCCUGAAAGCAGUCAGGUUGGAGAGGGAGGGGUAGACUUGGGUGAAUUUCUGAGACCACUUGUCCCCUGUGUAAACCUCUUGCCAGGUUUGAAUUUCUUCUGGGCACUUAAGUACGCACUAUGUCGUUCUGUCGUGCAGUGUGUGUUUACCUGGCCUGUACUUGGGGCCAAACCCAGGUUUGCCAGGAAUGGGUUUUCUCAGUUGCCAGUCCCCACACCACAACUGCAAAAUCGUUCCUUCCUUUGUCCUCCACAUGCCUCAGGAGGGACGGUGGUUUCUUUCCCCAUGGAUGGAUAUGGAGGAGCAAGUCUCUCAGGUCUGUUGGGCAAUGUCCUUGGUCUCUAAAUGCUCUGUACCCAGACAUGCCUCAGGCCUCUCAAAAAUUCAGUUUCCUUUAAUUUGCUUAUCCCUCUGCUAUGCUCAUGGAGGGACACCUCUGGCUGGAGCUUCUGGCUGACUGAGGUAGAGGCUGUGUUGCAAGGAUUUUUUUCUUAUUUUAUUAUGUCCAACCUCCUUUGCCCCUGGUCUGUUUUGAAUGUCUAGUUUUAUGUCUCAGUGAAGUCUUUCCUUUUUUUUUUUUUGUUUUUGUUUUUGUUUACCCAUCUUUCAGAGAAGCCACUGCCUGCUUUUUUGAUUUCACUCCAUGGAGCACCCAGGAAUGUAACUCUAUUCUGCUAUCUUGGAUCUCUCCUCAUUUUAUUUUUUUAGUUAAAAGAAGGAAAAACAUAUAUGAUGCACCCUUUUUAUUUGUCAUAUGACAAACUUAAAUAUAUUUAUCUCUUUUUUUUGCAUUUAUAAGGUCUUGAUUUAACAUCUGAGCAGCCAUCUUAAAUGUCAACUGUCUUUCUUAUGAAGUAAGUUUCACUUUCCAGUAAUUCCUAUUACCUGAACUCCCCACAUCCCCAUUAGUGACCUACCCCAUGGUACCAUAACCCUGCGCCAAUUCCAGAAGGACAGGACCCUUUGCUCUGGAAAGCCCGUGGUGCCAUCAACCUAAGCCAAUCCCAUGCUAUUCCCACCCGCCCAGCUCUGACACAAGCCCCCUGAGCCUCUCCCACAGCACCACAGCUAUGACUCCAAACCCCUACCCCACAAAAGCUGAACCCCCGAACAUCUCAGGCCUCUCUCCUCUCUAUAGAGAGAUGGGCUUUAUUUUUCAGCUUUGACAGAUAAACUUUCAUGUGGAUCUCUGCCUGGUUUCAGUCCUUCAUUUCUUGCUCGCCUGUCUCUUGCUUUCUCUCUUCCCUUUCAGCAUUCAUUCUAUUUUUCCUGUGUGCUUAUCUUCCUUCUUCAUAAUUAAUAUUUUAAACAGUUCCUACAUAAGCUCCUCUUGACUGAUGAUAAAAUUCUUAAUCUUGGAAACAAAUAUUUUAACCUUUAUUUUGCACUUACUUGUGGAAGAUAAUAAGGUUGGUUAAACAAUUAUUUUGUUUAAACAAUUAUUUUCCCUUAGUCCUUUAAGGACUUUAAUUUGCUAUUUUUGUUAUGCAUUUUUGCUGACUCAGGUUCACUAAAGAUUUAUCAGUCUGGGUUUCCCCCCAUUCUGGUGGCUAUUAACAGUGACAGUAGUCUCUAUUGUUAGGAAGAGUAAGUGCAAAGAGCGUAAAUAGAAAUUAUUUGUACUAAUUCACUUUUGUACUCAGAGCAAACUUUAUAUAAUGAAUUUUGGAAAAUAGUCAAAUAUUUUCUCUUCAUAUACCACUCCUCUAUCAUUCUCUACAUUCCCUUAUGCUCUUGAGUUAUUCCUAAUUAACAUAUGCAUCUUUUACUGUUCUUUUACUUUUUCUUUCACUUAUGUACUGCACAUGAAUUCUUUUGAACCUUCUUUAAAAUCAUUAGCUGUGUUCUACUAUAUGUAGCUUAUGAAAUCCAUUACAAUAGGUUUACAUAGAAUAUUUUUGAUUUUCAAAAUUUAUAAUCAAUUCCUUUCCAUAGUUCUCUUUUUCAUUCUCUUUUUUUCAUUUCACCUUAAUGCAACUUUAUAAUAUUCUAUGCUUUAGUAGAAGUUAUUUCUACAUUUAUCUCUUCAAUUUUCUUAGAAACUUUGUUUAAAGUUUGUGUCAACCUCCCCUGAAGUGAAAUUCAUAUUUUUGUUAUACGUAUAGAUGCUCCUCAGCUUACAGUGGAGUAACAUUCUGAUAAACUAAUCAUAAGUUGAAAAUAUCACAAAUCGAAGAUGCUUUUAACACCCUUAGCCUACACAGCAUCCUAGGUUAGCAACACGGUGUGCCAUGUUCGGUUGCUUUCCUUCCUGAUCAUAUCACUGACACUGCCCUACAUCAGAGUGUCAGUUGUACCACAUUAUCACUAGCCUGGGAAAUGAUCAAAAUCAAGUUCUAGUUUCUGGUCUUGUUUUUAUUGAAUGUGUAUUGAUUUUAUACCAUCAUUCAGAAAAUUGCAAAUUAGACCAUUGUGAAUCAGGGAAAUCUAUGUACUUUAGCAUCUGAUUUAUUUCUUUCUUUCCUCCCUCCCUUCCUCCCUCCCUCCCUUCCUUCCUUCCGAACUUAGAGUCACUUUACCACGGAACCACAUUCCCAACCUUUUUUUUUUUGAACUGUCAUAUUUUAUUUUAUUUUUAUUUUUAUUAUUUUGAGACAGGGUCUCAAGAAGUUUCUUAGCCUUGCAAAGUUCCUGAUGCUGGCAUCAAACUUGGAAUCCUCCUGCCUCAGCCCACUGAAUCACUGGAAUUAAAGGCAUGCUCAACCAUGCCUAGCAUCUGAUUUCCGUGUAACAUCUUUCCCGUAUCUCAGUGGGGUUGUUUUCGUUUGAUUGCCUUUCCAUUCAUUUUCCUCUGUGCUAUUCUAUCUCUGCUUAACCAUCAUUAAUUGUUAAGAUUGCAUCAUCUGAGGGCUCCUGCUGAAAGAAACACUGGGGACCACAGACAUGUUUACCAAUCCACUAUGUUCCUGGGUUCAUCUUUUGGCUUCUGAGAUUGGUCUCAUCACAAACCUGGUUCAGAGCUUACUACAGUCCAUUGCUGCAGACAGCAGUUACUUGUCACUUUCUUAAACUCACUGACAAGACCUAGGGAUGUUGUCUUGAAGUUUCGGGUCUUGAGUAAUAAGGCUAACUGCAAGGCGCCAUUUAUUUAUAUCACUUUGUUUUUGCCCUAUUAUCCUUUAAGGACCAAAACUUUAGUUGUCACUUGUCUAUUAUAGAAUUCAAAACUACUGACUUUUGACUUAGAGUUUCUGAUCCAAAGAGGUAUUCUUUAAAGAAUGCUUAUUUCUCUUCAUUUUCUAUUUUAGCUUACCCAUCAUUAUUCCAUAUGUAAUUAUUAAUUUACAACUGUAUGUGCUUAUCAAUGCAACUUUAAGUACAAGAGUAAACUUCUCGUGCCUUUCUGACCAUAAGUUUUCACACCUUGUUUUCUUAUAAAAUAUGAAUUUUUCAAAACAAAAGAAUAAUUAAAAGAACGUCAAGUUAUACAUCACCACUCUGUCUCUAAUAGCUCUAACAACAACAACAUAUAAGAGCCAUAUACACUGGACCUAGCAUUAUACAGAAGACUCUUGGUAUGAGCUGGUAAUGCUGACAUAUUUUGGAGUAAUAGUCACAACUCUUCCUGAACCAACUGAGAAAUAAACCUCAGAGGCAGAUAAGGAUUAAAACAUACAUAGGAAAACCUAAUUGGAACAUGAUUGGAACUUGAUUCACUUUUUUCUAAUUUGUUUAAUCCAAGAGAGCUUAUAGGGUAAACAAGACAUCUAGCAAGCUUGUGGAAUGAACUUCUAAGCACAGAGAAUUAUCCUACACCCUCUGCAAAAGGUCACAUAUGCUCAAGAUUGUGCUUGUCAGCUUUCUAUUGCUAUAGCAAAUCCCUGGUAUAACCAAUUUGUAAAGAGAAAAAAUUUAUUUUUAUUCAGUUCUUGGUCAUUUAGCCCUGUUAUUUUUCAGUCUGUAACAAGGAGCAGCCUUGAUGGCAGGGAGCAUGUGGCAGAGCAAGGCUGCUCAAUUCACUACUAGGACAGAAAGAAAAAGGAAAGGAUUGGGAUCCUACUAUUCCUUUCAAAGACAUACCUCCAAAGGCUUCCCAUUAGAUCUUACUCCUUUUAUCGUUUAGAUAUGAGGUGUCCCUCAAAAACUCAUGUGUGAGACAAUGUAAGAAUGUUCAGAAGUGAAAUGAAUACAUUAUUAUGAGAACUGUAACCUCAUCAGUGGAUUAAUCCACUUAUAUGGAUUAACUGAAUGGUAACUGUAGGCAUGUAGGAUAUGACUAUAGGAAGUAAAUUACUGGGGACUUGCCUUUGUGGGUUAUAUUUUUUCCCUGGUGAGUGGAGCUCUUUUUCCUGGCUGUCAUGAACUGAGUAGCUUUCCUCCUCCACAUCCUUCAGCCAUGAUGUUCUGCCUCACUUUGUGCUCAGAAUUAUAAAGUCAGUCAUCUAUAGACUGAAUCUAUGAAAUUGUGAGCCAAAAUAAUUUUUUUCUCCUUUAAAUUGUUUUUGUGUCUUUGGGUCACAGCAACAAAAUGUUGACUUAAAAGACCCCUUAAAGGUUUUGGUACCUCUCAAUGGUGCCAACCUAAUGAUGAAGUCUUUACCAUAUGACCUUUUGGGGAUACCUAUCCAAACCUUAGCAAAAGCCACCACAUUAUUUAUACCCAACUGGUAAAUGCAAACCAAUGUUUGUCUCUCUUUUUCUCAGGAGAAAAGACAAUGAGAGAGGGAAAUCAACCUGCAAUAUGCUCUUAUUUAUGAAUAUGUCUGUGAAUUAUCUGAAGAGUUUGUGAAAAAUGCAGAUCCAGUCCAACCAGGGUGUGGCCUGAGGUUUUGUACUUCUCACAUGCUCCCAAGUCAGGCAGAUGCUGGUUUUGAGUAGCAACUUCCUAGAGUGGGGCUUUCGAUGUCCAUUCAGGGGAUGCCUAAGGUCACAAAUAUUUUUUCAUAAUACAAAGCCAUUCAGUGGAGUGUUUUGGUGGGUACAUGGCAUAUGUUGGUUAAACCACUAAAGAUAAAAGAUGUGAAAAUCCUAAUAUCUUUUAUAAAGAAAUUUACACACACACACACACACACAUAUAUAUGUGCGUAUAUAUAUAUAUAUAUAUAUAUAUAUAUAUAUAUAUAUAUAUAUAUAUUUUUUUUUUUUUACAAAAAUAAGCCUGACAUGGUGGUGCAUACCCGUAGUUCCAGUAGCUUGGAAGACUGAGGCAAGAGGAUCACAAGUUCAAAGCCAGCCUCAACUUAGAGAGAGCCUAAGCAACUUAGCGAGACCCUGUCUUGGAAAAAAAAAAAAAAGGCUGGAAAUAUGGCUCAGUAUUUGAACUCUUCUGGGUGUAAUCCCUGGUACAUUUUUUGAAAAGAAAAAAAAGAAAGAAAAUCAAAAAAGAAAGAAAGGAAUUCACAGGAAUCUAAAACUAUACCCCUCAUUUCACUAGUUCCUUAUUUUGACAAACAUAAUUAUGUUUAUAAAAAUGUUAUCCAUAUUAGCAUGUAAUGGGUUUAUUUUCAUUACAAAAUAAGAUAAAUAUAUAUUUUCCAGCUCUUAUUUGUAUUAUGGUAAAUAUCAGUAGAUAUAACUCAUAUGGCCAAAGUUUGGGGGAUGCCCAAUCAUUUUUAAAAAGCUUUCCAAGUAUUUGCGAUUCACUGCUUUCUGAUGCAUGGAAGUUUAUUUUUCCUUGGUCAAGACAAACAUAAAGAAAGAGAAAAUAUGUUCUCCUACUUUAAAGCUAUGUUAAGGAAACAUUGAGAGCCCACAUAUUUUAAUAAAACACCUUAGCACAAAGUACUUGUGGACAUUUUUGUAGGAAAAAAUAGAAGAGUUGGCUAUGGGAUCUGCUCUUUUUAAUGGAAUGUCAAUAAACAUCCAGGGAGUUCUUCUUUAAGUGCCUUACUGUUGGGAAAUGACAGAACAAGAAAACAAGUGAGUCUUAAUCCCAAAAUAUGCUACCCUGCCACAAAAGUAGAUGAGUCAGUUUAUCCUUGGCUUCCUUAAAGCCUCAUGUUUUCUCACCCAUCUCAUGGAGAAUAUUUGGGACUGUAUUUUCAUCUAGCAUAGGCCAGUAUUUUCUUUGUUGACAUGCUAUUUCUGUUCUAUGAAUUUCUUUUACUUGGGAAAAUACAUGUGAGGCAAUGCAUCAAAGAAUUCAUUUAUUAACUUUACAUGUGGUAAAAAUAUCAAAUGCUUCUGGAAGCUUCCAGCCAACAUUAUACCACAUGUGCUUAGUUCAACUGCUUCCACCAUGCCUUCACCACCUGAGCUUGAUAAAAGCAUACUGUUGACUCUCUCAUUAAGCUUAUUCUAAUGGAAACACUCAGACAUGGGUUUUGUUUGUUUUUUGGUUUGUUUUCUAUGCCUAUCGAUGCAUUUCACCAUUUUUCAACUUUUCCCAAAUGUUUACUAAUGUGUAAAUUUUGCAUUGGAUGGACCAGUUGAGGUGCUGUUUCCUUCCUUUUCUUAUGCCUCUGGUAUGGUGAGUCAUUACUAAAUUCCCUUUUUAAAUGGAUCUAUUUUAUUUUCUAUCUUAAAGCAGAUUGUAUAAUACUGACCAACUUGAAGCCAAGGAAGCAGGUGCUUGUCAAAGGUCUGUACAGGCCAGUUCUAGUGCUGGAGGCAUGUGCAAUGAGGGACAUAGUCCUUAUUCUCUGUGGAAUGACAAUCUAGCAAGUGCAAGAGGAACACAAAGAUAAGCACACAAAUGGCUUUAAUACUCUCAGGGACCAUAGACACAGGAAGACAUGAAUAAGAAAGAUGUUUUGUUUUUUUUUUUAAUAGUUCACCCAGAGAACAGAGGUAAUGUCUAUUAGAAUAGACAGUCUUCUAAACUGUUUUGAACUUUCCACUUCUUAACAUCAGGCUUUUCUCUAAACUUGGGACCUGAAAUGUCUCAAAUGUAUUUAUUCUUCACAGCCUUAAUGAUUCUCCUUCAAAAUCUUCUAUCACAACAAAGUCAGAGAUAAACUCCUUGAAGCAAAAUUUAAACAGACAUGAAAGAAUUAAAACAAAAUCCUCAACUACUGUAAUGGGUAUUUAAGAAUAUUAAUGAAUUUAUUGUUCAUUUUCUUUGUACACAAUAUUUCACACAGAUCCACACACACACACACACACCCAUCUUCAUAAGAAUCAGUGAAGUCUGUACAACUGUUGUCACUCUUUUGCACAUGAGUAAAUAAGUAGACAAAGUGUCUAACAGGCUGGGAUUUUGGCAUUGCUGUUUUUGAGGAUGUGCUAAAGUGCACAGAAAGUUAGUCCACAGUAAAUGUUCUCAUAGUUUGAUAGAAUAAUUUUAUUAUCAUGCUCAGUCCACAGUAAAUGUUCUCAUAGUUUGAUAGAAUAAUUUUGUUAUCAUGUUCAGUCUAAUAGCUUGCUCUAACUACUAAGAGCCACAGUGAUCACUACUCUUCCAUACUGUAGGGUCGGGCAGGUGAGCCAAGUAUCUCUUAAGAGUUCUCGUUGGAGGAGGAUUUGCUUAAGUUCCAGGAUUUCACAGGCAUUGCAAUAUUUAAUAAGAUAAAUCAGACAGAAUAAUGGAAAUACAACUAAAUAUCAGUUUUGAUUAAUCAUAAAUGUGACAAUUCUGCAAUUAGUACAUAAGCCUAAAUAAGAGAUGUUGACAAUUCUGAUACAGACCAACAUGGAUCUGCAUAGGUGAGUGACAGAAGAGAACAGAAACUUCAAUAAUAGAGUAAGUUAAUUACUUGGCAUUGUAAUUUUUAGGAAUAAUGUCAGAUAAAUUUGCUAACAUCAGACCAAUAAACAUAGACUAUCUUAGUUCAAUAUAUUUUAUUGAGUAUUCUUUGGUGAAUUCUUUGAAUCAAACAUAUUUAAAUUGUCUACCAUAUGCAAGGCACUAGACUAAGGGUAAACAUAACAUGGCAAGCAAAAAUGGGGUGUUAAUCCAGAUUCUUUUUGUUUUAGGUGGCAGCACCCCUAAUUAUACUGGCAUAAACAAAAGGAAAUAUUUUGUUGACAUGGCUGGAUUUAACGAUUCUAAUGAUUUACUGCUCAUUAUUUUAUCCUACUUUUUAUCUGUCUUCACCCGCUCUCACUUUUGGUUGGCUUCUUUCUGAGUCUCUUUCUCUUUGGUGACAUCUCUAGGAUAAAAGUGAAAUCAGCAGAGACUAAAGUAGAUGCUUUUUGAUCUUUCUUCUUGACUCCCAGCUGCUCUAUAUUCCCCAGCUUCCUGCCACAGUCUUAUAUCUGGGUGGGGCCAUAUGGCUUUUUCUGCCAUACGGACUAUAUUUCCUAUGCUGCUUCCAAGUAUGCUGCUUCCAAGAAAAAAGCAAAUAAGGGAGGAUGUGCCUUAACUUCCUUUCUCUUUCUUAUGUCAGUAUUAGCGGCAACAGGUUAAGAAUGGGACAGGAUUGCAGGAUAGAAUAAGGUUGGUUCCCAAAUAACUGCACAGAGCAGCACUGUACCAGCCAUCAACCCAUAAUGGACUAUGACAUGAGCAAAGAAUGCACUCCGUGUGACGCCAUUGAGAAUUUAAGAGUGUUUGUUACAGCAUUCAGCUUUCCUUUUAAAUUGUAGUCCUUAGAUUCCCUGAUCACGGGGCGGGGGGUGGGGGGGGGGAGUGCAUUUAGCUAAUGGUUUGAGCAAAUGUUCCAAGUAAGACUGCAAUGGGCAGAGUUCUUUGCAGAACCAGCUGUUCUGGCCAGGUGUAAGGAGCACUCUUAGUUGCCAAGUUUGAUGUCCAGUGUCCAGAUCUAUGGGGAAAAAAAUAGCUUUGUUCAAACACGCGUACUGAAUUUCCCUGAACAAAUAUAUUUUUAUAUUAGAAGAACAAUGAUAAAGAAAGGUGAUAAGUAAAUAUCAGUAAACACCCACAUACAUAAUUUUUAAAAAAUAGUUUAUCUGUGUUUUGCUUACUUAACAUGUCAAUUCAUGCCUCUCAUUUACCAGAUACUAAGCUGAAAACUGGAGAUAGAGUGGAAAGAAGACCUUCAGAGUUCCUGUUUUGAUAGAGCACGCAUUCUGGUGAAGAAGACAGACACAGAGAGGGAGAGGGGAUCCAGGGAGAAAUGGAAAAAAUAUGGAAAGAAGGAUGGGGAGGCCAAAACAGAUUCUGAGAUAUUGAGUUAUUUUUAUGCAAAAAAAGUUUGUUGUCCGGUAGGACAAUUCUAUCAACAAUCUAAAGCUAAAACUAGAUUUAGGGGAAAAAAUCAUAGUCUCCAGACAUAAUUUGCAUUUUCCAGAGGGUGAACUGACUGGGCUGGAAGCUUUUAGCAGAGACUCUAAUGAGUUAACUUGUCCUUUAAUCAUAUUUUUUAGGUUAUUUAUGGAUUCCCUGAAUAUUUUACAGAUUUAGUAGUGGAGUACAAAUGAGAGGCUUUCUUUAUAUCAUACUGGAAGUUUUCUUCUGUCAAUACCUCCAUCACACUUAGGUUCAACAUACAACAUUUUCCUUAUUUAAUUUUCUAAAAGAAAGUCAUUGAGUAAACUAAUGGAUAAAAUAAUUACCUAUUUAACUAAUGCUUGCUGUCAGACAAGUGUGAGUCUGAACUGCAGAAAAAAAAAACAGGUUAGAAAUUGUAUAGUUAAUUGUAAAUAUGUCUUUAGUAAUUCACAAGUCACUAUUGGCACUUAAUUCCAUAAAGUCACAAGUCAGAAGAAUUCUUUUAGGUUCAACAGUCACUGAAAUGUUUGGACCCAUACUGACAUGGGCCAUUAAAGGUCCGGUGACUUUCGUGGUCAAAUCUGGUAGGGACUGUCCUUAGAGGAUAGUUUUGAACAUGGGCCACAGUCUCACACAACACAGCACCACAGUCGUAUCCUUUCCUACUCACCUCCAUCUAGAAAGAAUGUGAUGACCCCAUUUGGCACCAACAUAGACAGAAAAGGAUUUUGAUGAACUGAUGUUGGGUUCUGAGAUGGGAAGGAAAGGAGCAAAAGCUGGCUCUGGGAAGAGCUACACAGGAAUCCAUGAGCAAAGAUGAGUUUCCUGAACUGUAAAUCAAUAAAGCCUGUUUCCUCUUCUCAUUUGAUGCCUCAAGCUCAUCUGCUCCCAUUUUCAAAGGUCAGCAUUGACAGACUUGGGUCUCUGUGGGGCUUCAGAUGGAGUGAAAGGAAUGUUACCAGCAGGUACAGAUCCUGCCAACUGGGUGGU
rnacentral:lncRNA from 1 species